rnacentral:rRNA from 1 species
CUACGGGUUGCAGCAGUGGGGAAUAUUGCACAAUGGGCGCAAGCCUGAUGCAGCCAUGCCGCGUGUAUGAAGAAGGCCUUCGGGUUGUAAAGUACUUUCAGCGGGGAGGAAGGGAGUAAAGUUAAUACCUUUGCUCAUUGACGUUACCCGCAGAAGAAGCACCGGCUAACUCCGUGCCAGCAGCCGCGGUAAUACGGAGGGUGCAAGCGUUAAUCGGAAUUACUGGGCGUAAAGCGCACGCAGGCGGUUUGUUAAGUCAGAUGUGAAAUCCCCGGGCUCAACCUGGGAACUGCAUCUGAUACUGGCAAGCUUGAGUCUCGUAGAGGGUGGUAGAAUUCCAGGUGUAGCGGUGAAAUGCGUAGAGAUCUGGAGGAAUACCGGUGGCGAAGGCGGCCCCCUGGACGAAGACUGACGCUCAGGUGCGAAAGCGUGGGGAGCAAACAGGAUUAGAUACCCUAGUAGUC